CUGCUCUCAGUGUUCGACUAAGCCAUGCAAGUCAAAUGUUCUUCGUGAACAUGGCGAACUGCUCAGUAACACGUGGAUAACCUGCCCUUAGGACCGGCAUAACCCUGGGAAACUGGGGAUAAUUCCGGAUAACCCAUGAAUGCUGGAAUGCUUCGUGGGUAAAAUGGUUUCGACCGCCAAAGGAUGGAUCUGCGGUCUAUCAGGUAGUAGUGGGUGUAGUGUACCUACUAGCCUACGACGGGUACGGGUUGUGAGAGCAAGAGCCCGGAGAUGGAUUCUGGGACAUGAAUCCAGGCCCUACGGGGCGCAGCAGGCGCGAAAACUUUACAAUGCGGGAAACCGCGAUAAGGGGACACUGAGUGCCAGCAUCUUAUGUUGGCUGUCCGCAUGUUUAAAAAGCAUGUGUUAGCAAGGGCUGGGCAAGACCGGUGCUAGCUGCCGCGGUAACACCGGCAGCCCGAGUGGUGAUCACUAUUAUUGGGUCUAAAGGGUCCGUAGCCGGUUUGAUCAGUCUUUUGGGAAAUCUGACAGCUUAACUGUUAGGCUUCCAAAGGAUACUGUCAGACUUGGGACCGGGAGAGGUAAGAGGUACUACAGGGGUAGGAGUGAAAUCUUGUAAUCCCUGUGAGACCACCAGUGGC
rnacentral:rRNA from 1 species